rnacentral:rRNA from 1 species
CACGUAGGGGACGAGCGUUGUCCGGAUUCAUUGGGCGUAAAGCGCGCGUAGGCGGCUCGGAAAGUCGGUCGUGAAAUGCCGGGGCUCAACCCCGGGACUGCGUCCGAUACUUCCGGGCUGGAGGUAGGUAGGGGAGAUCGGAAUUCCUGGUGUAGCGGUGAAAUGCGCAGAUAUCAGGAGGAACACCGGUGGCGAAGGCGGAUCUCUGGGCCUUACCUGACGCUGAGGCGCGAAAGCUAGGGGAGCGAACGG